UGUCAGACACAGCAGAAUCUUUUUCUCAGUUAGAAAUUACUCCUAAAAUUCAUUUUGCUGCUACAAACUCCAGGACAAUCUGCCAUGAUUAAAGCUGUAGAAUGCAAAGGGGUAACUGAAAUUAAACCCACUUCUGUAUUCACGCAAAUUCAUCAGAAAACUGGUUCUCACCAUCCCAGUUGCUUCAUAUGCUUUGGACAAAAUCUUCGUUCCACUGAAGUCACUGAAUUUUACACUGACAGGAUUUCUUUCUACAAUGUGAGAUCAUACAGUUUCCAUCUUCAGUGAGAGGGCCACAUUUCAAAGGCCAGCUGGAUAAGAAACAGAAUAAGAUUCAAAUAGUAGGAAACCACAUCUUUAAUACUAAGCCUUCAAGAAUAUCAAGACAACAACAAAAGACAGGAGGUGAAGCAGCAGAAUAAACGAGAGACUCAAAUCUGUAAUAUGAGUUCUGAUAUUUAAUAUAAUUUUGGUAAGACAAAAGAUGUGUAUUGCCCUACAUCAUUCCAUCAGUCCUUUU
ensembl:lncRNA